CAGUAGCCACGGUAAUACAGAGGGUGCAAGCGUUAAUCGGAAUUACUGGGCGUAAAGCGCGCGUAGGUGGUUUGUUAAGUUGGAUGUGAAAGCCCCGGGCUCAACCUGGGAACUGCAUCCAAAACUGGCAAGCUAGAGUACGGUAGAGGGUGGUGGAAUUUCCUGUGUAGCGGUGAAAUGCGUAGAUAUAGGAAGGAACACCAGUGGCGAAGGCGACCACCUGGACUGAUACUGACACUGAUGUGCGAAAGCGUGGGGAGCAAACAGGAUUAGAUACCCGCGUAGUCCCUGUCUCUUAUAC
rnacentral:rRNA from 1 species